UCAAAUCCCUCUAUUUUUUUUCUCUUUCCUUUAUUCCAAAUUUAAAUAACCAGAUAAAAAGCCUCAAAGAACCUCUUUUCCUGACUCCUCCCCCUCUUUCCCUAGGGAUCAUUCUGCGAAAUUUAAUCCCAGACCGAUCAACACAAAUUCAUACUGAAAAGUUGAUUCUUCUUACUGUUAUGGAAGCUCAAAUUGCAGUAAUUUUACUGGGAACACUUAUUUGCGGUGGUGUGCAACUUUGCUGCUACUUCAUGACCUGUGAGAUAUAUUAGUUGGAAUUUUCCCACCGAAAGAAUUCGAAGACAGGUUGAGAUACUGCAGGCCUAGUAGACGUCCGAUUUCUUGAGGAAUUUCGCCGUGAAAGUUGUUGUCUAUCAAGUUGAUUCCAUUAAGAUAAGUAAGAUUUCCGAUUGAAGGCGGUAUGGAGCCUACCAACUUUUGAGCUUCCAAGUU
rnacentral:sRNA from 1 species